rnacentral:tRNA from 1 species
GCCGGCGUAGCUCAGUUGGUAGAGCAAGGGAAUCAUAAUCCCUGGGUCCCUGGUUCGAGUCCGGGCGCCGGUA